UGGGCCGCUUUCUCUUUCAAUAUCACGAUAGAAAUCAUUGAUUUUUUUCCAUCUCCAUCCCAAACACGAUUCUAUUGUACUAUUUUGGGAGUGAUUUAGGUGAUUUAUCUUCAACAGGGUUUCAGAUUUUUUGAUUGAAGAGUUGUUGUAUCCAUUACAAUGGUGGAAAUCAAUUCUUUUAAAAAGGUUAUAAGAGGCUCGCUUGCUGCAAUGGAGAAGGAAAGAAAGAAAAACAAGGCUAAUAAUCCUAGACUCUGAAUCUAGUUAAUGGAACUAAAUCGGCUACACCUGUAAAGAAGAAAGAAAGUUCAAAGCCUUUAAUCAUGAAAAAUAAUCUUGAAAAAAAGAAGAAAAGUCAACGGUGUCGAGUAAGGUAGUAGUGAAAAAUCACAGAGGAAGAGAUUGAGGUUUGUAUGCUUUAAAAAUUGAUGCUUUACUUUAAUUUUUCUAGUAUCAUAU